GGGGAGCAAACAGGAUUAGAUACCCUGGUAGUCACGCUGUAAACGAUGUCGAUUUGGGGUUUGUUGCCUAGAGUGAUGGGCUCCGAAGCUAACGCGAUAAAUCGACCGCCUGGGGAGUACGGCCGCAAGGUUAAAACUCAAAUGAAUUGACGGGGGCCCGCACAAGCGGUGGAGCAUGUGGUUUAAUUCGAUGCAACGCGAAGAACCUUACCUGGUCUUGACAUCCAUAGAAUUCUGCAGAGAUGUGGGAGUGCCUUCGGGAACUAUGAGACAGGUGCUGCAUGGCUGUCGUCAGCUCGUGUUGUGAAAUGUUGGGUUAAGUCCCGCAACGAGCGCAACCCUUAUUCUUUGUUGCCAGCGAUUUGGUCGGGAACUCAAAGGAGACUGCCGUUGAUAAAGCGGAGGAAGGUGGGGACGACGUCAAGUCAUCAUGGCCCUUACGACCAGGGCUACACACGUGCUACAAUGGCGUAUACAAAGGGAAGCGAAGGUGCGAGCUGGAGCGGAUCUCAUAAAGUACGUCUAAGUUCGGAUUGGAGUCUGCAACUCGACUCCAUGAAGUCGGAAUCGCUAGUAAUCGUAGAUCAGAAUGCUGCGGUGAAUACGUUCCCGGGCCUUGUACACACCGCCCGUCACACCAUGGGAGUGGGUUGCACCAGAAGUAGAUAGCUUAACCGCGAGGGGGGCGUUUACCACGGUGUGAUUCAUGACUGGGGUGAAGUCGUAACAAGGUAACCA
rnacentral:rRNA from 1 species